UACAAGUGAGGGAAAAAUAAAAAAAAAAUAAAAAAAAAAUCUCAGCUAACAGUAGAAGGAGAAGAAGAGAGGAAGGUUAAGGAAGCAAAAAUUUUCUACCAUUUUAUCAACCAUUUGAAUCCUACUGUUAGAUUAUGUUGAAGAAGGGACUGAGGCUGAAAUUGGAGCUGCUGCCAAUAUCGAACCUUGGCUGACUUAGAGUCAAGAUUUUGUCAGAAUAAAAUCCUGUUAUCCCUUGUAGUAGGAUUAAACUAUGUUGUGACGUUGUUUGUGAACUCGUAGUUUUAUUUUGUCGUUGGACUUUGGCUUUGUAAGAACUUAAAAGUUCCUAACUAGUAGUUAAAAUUUUAUCUAGCAAGUUAUUGUUAUUUAAAAUCUUAUGACGUUUCAAAAAAAAAAAAAUUUGGGGC